AUAAAGCAACAAGUCGACUUUUCAGGCCUCUGGGACAGACUGCUGAAGGGAUGUCAAAAGGAAGAGCAAAUGCAGGACAUGCUGGGGUAUCUAGGACAUCCACUCUGGGUGCCUAUGGGUGGAGAAGUGUUUUAUGGACCAAGAGGAACUAAUAGGAAAAAAAUAACAGGAGUUGUACUUAAGGAAUUCCAACUGGGGAGCCUCAUCUUCACCUGGAUGAUUUAUGUGAUGAGAAGAUGAACUUGAAGCUGAUGCUGUAAUUGAAGAGAUCAAGAGGCUUGAGCAUGGACAGGAGCAAGGAGGAGUAUACUUCUGAGCUCUGAAUCUGCAGGAGAACUUUUUCUUGAUUGAUUAAAGAAGCAAAAAAGAAUAUGAAUUAAAGCAAUCUGUCCAAAUG